CGCGGCUGCAGGACCGCGGCCGAACGGUAGAGGCCUCCCUUCCGAGGAGGUAGCGCGGACUUCUCUGGCUGGGGCACUCCUCCCGGUCUCGUCCAUCCCAGCGAGGUCCCGGCGCGGCCGGGCCCAACGCGGCCCUUCCCCACCUGUUCUCCUCCCCCUGCAGCCGGCAGCUCCUGUUUUCUGAGGCACUAUUUUCAAUACCCACAGCACAUCUGGUUUAAAGACUUAGAGGGGGCAAGUCAUCUUCCUAUCCAUUGCACUGAAGAAGGAGGUCCUUUCAAGCACGGAUCGCAGUGCCCAGUGGUCAAUACCCUUACUUUUAUCCAGUGUCUGCUUCAUUUAAACUUAAUCAACUCCAUCAAUGAACUGGAACAGGGAAACGUCCCUACGGCUUCUAAUGUGAGGAAAAACACUGAAUGACAAGUGUGGGAAAGAGCAAGCACUAAAUUACUGUCAGAAAAAUAAACGGAGUAGCACAGUGGUGCUCAGUGAUUUACGGGGGCAAUUAGUCACCACCCCACGGCGCUGCUGAGGACAGCACAGCAGCAGACUCGUCAGGCCCACGAGGAAGAAGAGGCUUUGCAUUGCUCUCCAGACAACUUUUCAAACAACAAACAACAAGAAUCUGAGCACAUUAGGUUCCAUGUCUUCAGUCUGGACAACCACCCUUCAUAUUUUUCUUCCAACUUGAUACAUAAGUGUGGCUUUAGCACGAUAUUAACCUGUUCUGUGUUAAAAAGAUUCUAACUGCAACUUUUUUCUUGCCCAUUCUCCAAAGUGGGUUCUUUCCCAUCCCUAAAAAACAAAAAACGCUUCUUGCUCCCGUCAUCCCCCUAGUAUAUGGCGCCAGUCUGUCUCAUUCUUCUUGCAUCUUGCUACCUGUGUUAUACAUUUGUGCAGAGGCACUGACUGCUAAGAAAUUUUAUCUGCAAAUCUUCUGCAGAAGUUUGUAAGCUGGUAUGAGGAAGUGAGAAGGAAUGCAAAACAUAGGGUCAAUGAAGACCAUGAACUUCUCCAUAUAAGUUAAUAUGUUCUUUAACAUACUCUCUGUAGUGUUUGUAUAUGUAACACAGGAAAAUAAACCUACUCAGGGAGAAUUAAUUGGUGUUCAUUCCUUAAUAAAUAUAUAAAUAUAUAAAUAUAUGAAUAUCCAUCAGAAGAAACCAGAAAGGAAGGUUGGGAAGAACCCAGGAAAGACAAAGAAUAUAUUGAUUAAAUGCCGCUGAAUGAAUAAAUGAAAUUAAUCAAGAGUUUAGUAUCCUUGUGGUGGGCCAGAGAUUUAGCUCAGUGGUUUCGCCACCUGCUGUGCAAGCGCAAGGAUCGAAGUUUGAUCCCCAGUAC
rnacentral:lncRNA from 1 species